rnacentral:rRNA from 1 species
UACGUAGGGGGCGAGCGUUGUCCGGAGUUACUGGGCGUAAAGGGCACGCAGGCGGUGCGGCGCGUUUCGCGUGACAGCGGAGGGCUUAACUCUCCGAGGAUGCGAAAGACGGCGGCACUUGAGGGCCAGAGAGGGACACGGAAUUCCCGGUGUAGUGGUGAAAUGCGUAGAUAUCGGGAGGAACACCAGUGGCGAAGGCGACUACCUGGCCUGUUCUUGACGCUGAGGCGCGAAAGCUAGGGGAGCAAACGGG